AUGAAGUUUAGUGGAAAGAAACAGUUCAAAGAGGCAAUAGUGGACUAUGGUCUUAGGAAGAGGAAGGAAAUAAAAUUCAUUAAGGAUGAGGGUGACAGGGUGAGAGCAAAGUGCACUUGGCCAACUUGCAAAUGGGUUUGUUUAGCGAGGAAGACUAGCAAGUUUGAAAGCUGGCAGAUUACUUCUUUCAUUGAUGAGCACACAUGCCCAAAGAGGAGAGACAACAAGUUGGUGACAUGCACCAGAAUAGCCAACAAGUUUGAGAAUUUGAUCAAGUCAAACACUGACUGGUCAGUCCAAAAUUUGAAGGCCACGGUGCAGGAGGAGAUGUUUGCUAAUGUACACAUAUCGAAGAUCAAGAGAGCUAAGGCGUCUCAAAAAGGAUUCAAGAGUCAAAAUUGGGUGAAUAUAGCCAAGUCUUCGAUUAUCAGCUAG
rnacentral:rRNA from 1 species